rnacentral:snoRNA from 1 species
AGGUCAUUUAGCAAAUGGAUUGUUAUAUUGUGAAACCAGGAGCUCUUAAGUCUAUGACCAAAGUUUGAAGGUCUCUACAAAACGCAUGGCUAGUCACUCAGUUUCUCCUGAGGACAUAUCACA